GAUGAACGCUAGCUACAGGCUUAACACAUGCAAGUCGAGGGGCAGCACAGAGAUAGCUUGCUAUCUUGGGUGGCGACCGGCGCACGGGUGAGUAACGCGUAUCCAACCUGCCCAUUACUCGGGGAUAGCCUUGCGAAAGUAAGAUUAAUACCCGAUGUUGUUUGACUGCCGCAUGACGAUCAAACCAAAGAUUUAUUGGUAAUGGAUGGGGAUGCGUGACAUUAGGUAGUAGGUGAGGUAACGGCUCACCUAGCCGACGAUGUCUAGGGGUUCUGAGAGGAAGGUCCCCCACACUGGAACUGAGACACGGUCCAGACUCCUACGGGAGGCAGCAGUGAGGAAUAUUGGUCAAUGGACGAGAGUCUGAACCAGCCAAGUAGCGUGCAGGACGACGGCCCUCUGGGUUGUAAACUGCUUUUAGUUGGGAAUAAAAAGAGGGACGUGUCCCUAAUUGUAUGUACCAUCAGAAAAAGGACCGGCUAAUUCCGUGCCAGCAGCCGCAGUAACAC
rnacentral:rRNA from 1 species